GACGAACGCUGGCGGCGCGCCUAACACAUGCAAGUCGAACGAGCGAGAGAGAGCUUGCUUUCUUGAGCGAGUGGCGAACGGGUGAGUAACGCGUGAGGAACCUGCCUCAAAGAGGGGGACAACAGUUGGAAACGACUGCUAAUACCGCAUAAGCCCACGACCCGGCAUCGGGUUGAGGGAAAAGGAGCAAUCCGCUUUGAGAUGGCCUCGCGUCCGAUUAGCUAGUUGGUGAGGUAACGGCCCACCAAGGCGACGAUCGGUAGCCGGACUGAGAGGUUGAACGGCCACAUUGGGACUGAGACACGGCCCAGACUCCUACGGGAGGCAGCAGUGGGGAAUAUUGCACAAUGGGGAAACCCUGAUGCAGCGACGCCGCGUGGAGGAAGAAGGUCUUCGGAUUGUAAACUCCUGUUGUUGAGGAAGAUAAUGACGGUACUCAACAAGGAAGUGACGGCUAACUACGUG
rnacentral:rRNA from 1 species